AUUGAACGCUGGCGGCAGGCCUAACACAUGCAAGUCGAACGAGUGGCGGACGGGUGAGUAAUGUCUGGGAAACUGCCUGAUGGAGGGGGGUAACUACUGGAAACGGUAGCUAAUACCGCAUACCAUCGGAUGUGCACAGAUGGGAUUAGCUAGGAGGUGGGGUAAAGGCUCACCUAGGCGACGAUCCCUAGCUGGUCUGAGAGGAUGACCAGCACAACUGGAACGGAGACACGGUCCAGACUCCUACGGGAGGCAGCAGUGGGGAAUAUUGCACAAGGGGCGAAAGCCUGAUGCAGCCAGGCCGCGUGGAUGAAGAAGGCCUGCGGGUUGGAAAGUACUUUCAGCGGGGAGGCGUUACCCGCAGAAGAAGCACCGGCUAACUCCGUGCCAGCAGCCGCGGUAAUUC
rnacentral:rRNA from 1 species